AUUGAACGCUGGCGGCAGGCCUAACACAUGCAAGUCGAACGAUUGGCGGACGGGUGAGUAAUGUCUGGGAACCUGCCCUAUGGAGGGGGAUAACUACUGGAACCGGUAACUAAUACCGCAUACCAUCAGAUGUGCCCAGAUGGGUGUGGCUUUUCGGUGGGGUAACGGCUCACCAAGGCCACGAUCCCUAGCUGGUCUGAGAGGAUGACCGGCCACACUGGGACUGAGAAACGGCCAGGACUCCUACGGGAGGCAGAAGUGGGGAAUAUUGCACAAUGGGCGCAAGCCUGAUGAAGAAAGGCCGCGGGGAUGAAGAAGGCCUUCGGGUGGGAAAGUACUUUCAGCGGGGAGGCGUUACCCGCAGAAGAAGCAACGGCUAACUCCGUGCCAGCCGCCGCGGUAAUAC
rnacentral:rRNA from 1 species